rnacentral:misc_RNA from 1 species
GAUGAAGAACGUAGCGAAAUGCGAUAAGUAAUGUGAAUUGCAGAAUUCAGUGAAUCAUCGAAUCUUUGAACGCACAUUGCGCCCGCCAGCAUUCUGGCGGGCAUGCCUGUCCGAGCGUCAUUUCAACCAUCAAGCCCCGGGCUUGUGUUGGGGACCUGCGUCCGACGCAGGCCCUGAAAACCAGUGGCGGGCUCGCUGUCCACGCCGAGCGUAGUAACUCACCUCGCUGCGGAGUGGCGCGGGCGCCUGCCGUGAAACCCCCGACCCCCAAAGGUUGACCUCGGAUCAGGUAGGAAUACCCGCUGAACUUAAGCAUAUCAAUAAGCGGAGGA